CCUGCAUUAAUCUGUUUUGUUGACCUUUGUGGACACUGCUGCAGAUUUCCGAAACUCUGCAGCGGUGUGCACCUUUAAGGACAUUCGUAACUUUGCACAAUGCUGUUACAGAUGAGAUUUCGCCACAUCAUGGUAGAAUUCCCUUGCGCCUCCCUUAACUUAGAAUGCGUUGCCGUGUUUGGUGCAGCUUCUCGUGGAAUUCUGCCUUUUUGAAAAAGGAAAAGUUUUGCGACUCGACUGUAUACUGUACAAUAUAUCUAAAAAUGAGAUUAUUAUAUUGUAAGAGGGUUGUGACUGACUUUUAUUUGUUAUUUUCCCGAUAUAUUUCAGUCGAUGGUUUAUUUUCCAGCACGCUCCAGCAAGCCAACCUACCAGUGAUUGAUUACAACAAGUGCAAAACAAAUGAAUUUUGGGGUUCUAAAUUACCUCCAAACACAAUAUGUGCUGGUGAUGGAUCAAGCGGUGCAUGCAAUGGUGAUUUCGGUGGACCACUACUAUGUCGGAAUAGUGACAAUUCAUGGGCUGUGCAUGGCGUUGUUUCAUUUGUAUGGGCAUUGAAUUGUAAAGAUGAAUAUGCGCCUACAGUCUUCACUCGUAUAUCUGCCUACAUUCCCUGGAUUCAAAACGUGAUGGCGCGUUAUUAAACUCGGAAGGACAUUCUUGUGGCCGAUGAACUGUACCAUCAAGAUGGUCAUCGCCGUCUUAACACAUACCGGUUUAUUGAUAUUUACAUCAUAAUGUUUCUUGAAAUAUUAACACAAGCUAGUUAAAUCUAAUCUGAAUCUCUAUAUUCUUGUUUUAAACGCUCUUAAAGUUACUUAACCACAUUAUGGCGAAUUAACCGUGAAAGAAUUGUGCAUGCUACAUCUAACAUGUGAAAACGACAUAUUUGAUGUGGACGGAACACGAAUCUAUACAGUGGCGGUGUUGUUAGCCACGAACAGAUUAAUUAUUUUAUGAUGUAAGUACGACUCAUGAAAUCAGGAGGGGUGAAAUGAAAUAGGCUAGACAUGGUAAUGUCAGCAAUAUAAUCAUGGCAACAGGUAAAACAUAAUGUUUUAUGGUUAAAAUAGUUGCACUGCUAUAUACAGCGAUUUGUAUACCAUGAAUUGUAUCCCAUAGGUGGUAUAUACUUUACGGAUUUACUCAUUUUGCUUCAUGAAAUCAUUUACAAACCAGUGCAUGUACGUAAAAUAGCUUAUAAAUGCAGUUUCUGGACAUGAUGUAGAAUUUGAAUAAAGAUUUUAAACAAUGGGUGUUGUGUGGUGUAUUGUAUACAAAGAUGCCUGUACCAAAGGGCUCCUAGAACUAAUAUGAAUUGCAAUUGGUCCUCUCUGCACACAUUAAAGUCUCGGAACAGGGUUGUAAAAAAUAUAUAUACAUAAACCCUUUGGUACAUGUGUUGAGGCGUAGAUGAUGACUCGGAGGCAGAUCUUCAUGUAGGGGCUUGCACCAGUUUUAUUGAAGACUUUUCUUCAUACACGACUCCGUGUACCGCACGCUCACUGCCUACACUCCACACCCCAGGGGAAGGGUACUGGGGAUUCGCUAGCGCACCCCCA